AGUGAACGCUAGCGGCAGGCCUAAUACAUGCAAGCUGAACGGUAAAUGUUGUAGCAAUACGAUAUGAGAGUAGCGUAAGGGUGCGUAACACGUAUGCAAUCUACCCGCAACAGGAGGAUAGCUCCCCGAAAGGGGAAUUAAUACUCCAUAAUAUCACGAGAGGGCAUCUGAUUGUGAUUAAACUCCAAGGGGUUGCGGAUGAGCAUGCGUCUGAUUAGUUAGUUGGUGAGGUAACGGCUCACCAAGACGAUGAUCAGUAGGGGAACUGAGAGGUUGAUCCCCCACACUGGCACUGAGAUACGGGCCAGACUCCUACGGGAGGCAGCAGUAGGGAAUAUUGGUCAAUGGGUGAGAGCCUGAACCAGCCAUGCCGCGUGCAGGAAGAGAGCCUUCUGGGUUGUAAACUGCUUUUGCCAGGGGAUAAAAUACCCAUGCGUGGGGAAUUGAAGGUACCUGGUGAAUAAGCCACGGCUAACUGCGUGCCAGCCGCCGCUGUAAAAC
rnacentral:rRNA from 1 species